AGGCAGCAGUGGGGAAUUAUUGCACAAUGGGCGCAAGCCUGAUGCAGCGACGCCGCGUGCGGGAUGACGGCCUUCGGGUUGUAAACCGCUUUUGACUGGGAGCAAGCCCUUCGGGGUGAGUGUACCUUUCGAAUAAUCGCCGGCUAACUAUCGUGCCAGCAGCCGCGGUAAUACG
rnacentral:rRNA from 1 species